UACACGGAGAGUUUGAUCCUGGCUCAGAAUGAACGCUGGCGGCGUGCCUAACACAUGCAAGUCGAACGAUAAGGAAGGCUUCGGCCUUCUGGACAGUGGCGCACGGGUGAGUAACGCGUGGGUAACCUACCCUUCAGUUUGGAAUAACGCCUCGAAAGGGGUGCUAAUACCGAAUAUGACCACGAAAACUACGGUUUUUGAGGUAAAAGGUGGCGAUUCUUCGGAAGCUAUCGCUGAGGGACGGGCCCGCGUGACAUUAGAUUGAUGGUGGGGUAAUGGCCUACCAUAUUGUCUACGAUGUCUAGCUGGUCUGAGAGGAUGAUCAGCCACACUGGGACUGGAACACGGCCCAGACUCCUACGGGAGG
rnacentral:rRNA from 1 species